UCCAUUCUGUUUUUCUAAUUGUUCUGUUCUCUUUAACUGGUGUUUAAAUGGUAUGUUUCGCAUGUUAUAUUACUGCGUUAUGCCGCCACCUAGUGGCGUCUUUUAUUGUAAAAUGUCGCAUGCAAGCAGGAAGUUGGUUUAGUUUCAUUUAGUCAGCAUGUGGUGCGCAUAUCUCCUGCUUUUCUGCAACGGUUUUCUUAUCAUGCUUCGUUUUGGACAUCAUUCUUCUUACAAAAAGGAAAUCAAGGACGUCUUCUGGUAAACGGUCAAGAAAAGUCACGCCUUGUCAUUUAUUUGAAGAUGUCUAAUGUUAACUAGCUGUCUCGUGUUGCAAGGGAACGGUUACGCGAAGGCAGCGUGCUGAUAUUUCAAUUUUCUUACCCAUUUUAAAUGCGCCUGUCAACACAUUAGGCAACAUAGGAGGCUGCAUAGGGCGCCAUAUUCUGAGGGGGCGCCAACUUAGCAAACUGCAAGCGCCACCCUUCUCUCUGUACAGUUUAGCAGAAGUAAAAUGCAGGCAGGUGGCCGCACAGCUGAACAGAGGGGCGUAUGCAGGCUUUGCUGAAGGCGAUGCAGCUUAGGAUGGUUUUGUGGUAAUAAAACAGGCUAUUUUUAA